UUCCUGAGUAGAGCACAUGGAACUUCCUUUUUUUGAAGCCACACCUACAAUAAAUAUUUGAUGUUUGAGAACAUGGUUUACAGUCUCCUUCAUGGCACAAGCUUUCACAUGUAUGAAGCAACUCAUAGCUACCACAAGAAAGAGGUUUGCCACAUGUUUUUCCACAUGAGGGGAUGGGAUCCGUGCAUAUUUUACGUUCAAUACAUCCUAGUUCCAGCAAUUUGCUGAGAGGAGUCUGACCACAGGGACAGCGAUAUACUACUUGUGGAAGUCGUGGACAGAGUUGGCAAGGUUGAGGAUGGCAUACUUGUGUACAGUUGUGCCUACCACAAUUUAAUGUUUUGCCGCAUGUAUUCUGACAUGAGAAACUCCCAAAUCCAUCAUAAAAUUCUUCCUUUGUCCCACAUAAUACUUCUUUAAAGUUUUUUCCACAGUAACACACUUGCUGUACUUUUAGUUGGCAAGGUAAACAUUCUCCUGCAUGGCACACCUGAGUACAUCUGUGCUUG
rnacentral:lncRNA from 1 species